UACAGAGGUGGCAAGCGUUGUUCGGAAUUACUGGGCGUAAAGGGCGCGUAGGCGGUCUCGUAAGUCCCGUGUGAAAUCCCUCGGCUCAACUGAGGAACUGCACGGGAAACUGCUUGGCUUGAGUUCGGGAGAGGGAAGCGGAAUUCCGGGUGUAGCGGUGAAAUGCGUAGAUAUCCGGAGGAACACCGGUGGCGAAGGCG
rnacentral:rRNA from 1 species